CAUGGACGGAAGGCUGAGGGGCAUAAAUCUUACAAGUUGCUUUUCCGAGACCAGCCAGAACUAGCCCUAAACGAAGACACUGUGCGCUCGCUGCUGGCGGCUGUAGUCUUCUUAUUUGGAUUUCAACAAGUAGUCCCAGCCAGAGAAGCAUUAGAAGAUCAAGCCUCACAUCUUCUGGUCAUAGAAUUCCUUUCUGCAGGCUCCACUGCAGGCUCAGGCCGCCGCGUAACCUGAGACGCCUCGAUUUCCCAGUAGACAGCACAUUAAAGGGAGGUCUGCCGGCCAGCUGCAGAGACAGGAUUCGAGGAAAAGGAUUAUUUUCCACGAUUAGACUAAGGGCUGUUUAACACCAAUUACUAUUCCCCAUCAUUAACAGAAGAGAAUUCUGUUUGUGACUUAGGUCAUUCUUCACUCUUCCUCCUCGACCUGGCUCCCGCGAGGCUGCCUGGCUGAGUCCCAGACACACAAAAGCAGAGGUCACAGAGAUAAAUGUCAACUGUCAGAAGUGCCACAGAUGAAGGUGAUAUUCUUUUCUAAUGGUUUCUGAGAAAAGAGACCAUCAGAGUGAAAUCCAGUAAUCCCUCAUUUCUGAUUCCAUGCCUACUGAGACGCUCAAACUCGAGUGCAGACUUUGGUAAAGUACUGAGCGCUGAAAGGUAGUUCUGUCUCCUGAGGAAUCUGGAAUGAGAUCUAGUAGGAAGUUUCAUUCAAGUUGAAUGGAAAACAUAAAAGAGAGUGUUCUAUGGAACUCAGAAGUCUGGCAAUGAUGGAUUUACUCCAUGUGUGAAAGACCGGAGUAAGUGUUCUUCCCGCGUUUGAUUUAUUAAUUGGUUUAUUAAGAAAGUCCUACAAGUUAAUAUUUCACUACUCGUUUGAAUAUAGUUAUAAAAUCCUAAGUAGAGAGUCCGCAAAUCAAAUAGAAAUGGACACUCCAGUACCUAUCAAAUGAUGUUUUCACAUUUAUCUAUAUAUUUACCUAUAAUUGAAUAAUUUCCUAAGAAAUAGUAGUGUGCCUAAUUUGAGUAGAAUGUUGCAUUUUAGCUUUAUUUUUAAAUUUAAGUAGUUCUAAAGACAAUCCUGGGUUAAUUUAUGGGGAAAUUGUUAUUAUUCUCCUUCUUGGAAUAUGCCUGUCUAUCUCUAUGAAGUGAAAUGCACCCAUUUCUGAAAAGAUUCCUUUAAUAAUGUUCUCUCAUUUUAUGAGAUUCCAUGGCACCAUAGCAUGACUGAAUAAAUUAUCCUCUGGACAUAACCUAAUUUCCCAUAGUCCUAAUUCUGAAAGAUUUCUCAGAUUUUUUUUUCCAGUGGGAGAAAUAUUAUAAGAUUAUCAAAUUCAUUAUUUUGCUGAUGAACAAAAUUAUACCUGAACUGUCUUAAAAGUGCUUCUUUUCAUUAAAAAAAAAAAAAAAAAAGCUAUAGCGAAUGAAAGGCAUCUAUUAUAUAAUUCCCUGGAGUGGAUCCCUCUUCUUUUAACUCAGAUUUUCAGGAAGUUUGGAUUCCUCCAAUUCCAUUUUAAUGCCCCCCCCCCCCCCGCCAUUCUGUUUCAAUGGCAGUGAGGAACAGCUGGCCAGCAUCUUCUGUGAUAAUAACCUUCAUAUAGUGGAAACGCGAAUGGUUUUGGACAUGGUACUCACAAAAACAUCCCCCCGCGUGAUGUAGCUUAUUUGGUAUUUCCCCCUGUAAAUAGCUAGAUUCCUUAUAGCCAGCCCUUCCAGCGACUAUCAAAUUUUGGCUCUGUUCAGUAUAAUGCAAGCAUUUUCUGCCCCGUCUAUUCAGGAAUGUCUUCUGAGGAGGUUUCACAAUACAAUUUAUUGUGUUUAAUUUAUGACAUACAAUGUAAGAAGAAUGGAAUGCUUUUCUGUUAGGAUUUGCAUUGAUAAUUAAAGGUUACCAUAGUGCUGGUCCGCUUUUACCAAAUUUGCCAAAUUCUGAAGGGAAUGCCAAUUAGAAGGCAGUCAUGUUUCUCACUACAACAGAUUGAGACCAGUACCUGGUGGUGAGGACCCGUCACUUUUGGCUGGACCCUACUUCUAAUUGGGAAAGAAGGCAAAAGCUAGAUCAAAUAGUGUUUCUGAAGUGGUAUCAAUCAUUCCAAGUAAUAGCCACACCCCAAGAAGGCUGAGGAAGUGAUUCAGUCUUUCUGAGGUCAUCUUUUCUGGGGAUGGAGGUAGCCAAAAUUCUGAA